rnacentral:rRNA from 1 species
AGCAGUGGGGAAUUUUGGACAAUGGGCGAAAGCCUGAUCCAGCAAUGCCGCGUGAGUGAAGAAGGCCUUCGGGUUGUAAAGCUCUUUUGUCAGGGAAGAAACGGUGAGAGCUAAUAUCUUUUGCUAAUGACGGUACCUGAAGAAUAAGCACCGGCUAACUACGUGCCAGCAGCCGCGGUAAUACGUAGGGUGCAAGCGUUAAUCGGAAUUACUGGGCGUAAAGCGUGCGCAGGCGGUUUUGUAAGUCUGAUGUGAAAUCCCCGGGCUCAACCUGGGAAUUGCAUUGGAGACUGCAAGGCUAGAAUCUGGCAGAGGGGGGUAGAAUUCCACGUGUAGCAGUGAAAUGCGUAGAUAUGUGGAGGAACACCGAUGGCGAAGCAGCCCCCUGGGUCAAGAUUGACGCUCAUG